rnacentral:misc_RNA from 1 species
GAUGAAGAACGCAGCGAAAUGCGAUAAGUAGUGUGAAUUGCAGAAUUCAGUGAAUCAUCGAAUCUUUGAACGCACAUUGCGCCCCUUGGUAUUCCAUGGGGCAUGCCUGUCCGAGCGUCAUUGCUGCCCUCAAGCACGGCUUGUGUGUUGGGCCUCCGUCCUCCUCCCGGGGGACGGGCCCGAAAGGCAGCGGCGGCACCGCGUCCGGUCCUCGAGCGUAUGGGGCUUCGUCACCCGCUCUUGUAGGCCCGGCCGGCGCUUGCCGACACAUCAAUCUUUUUUCCAGGUUGACCUCGGAUCAGGUAGGGAUACCCGCUGAACUUAAGCAUAUCAAUAAGCGGAGGA